UAGUCCACGCCCUAAACGAUGUUAACUCGACAUUCGCGAUACACUGUGAGUGUCCAAGGGAAACCAUUAAGUUAACCACCUGGGGAGUACGUCCGCAAGGAUGAAACUCAAAGUAAUUGACGGGGGUCCGCAUAAGCGGUGGAGCAUGUGGCUUAAUUCGAUGCAACGCGAGGAACCUUACCUAGGCUCGAACACUACCGGACAGACCCCGAAAAGGGUUUUUCUUCGGACUGGUAGUGAGGUGCUGCAUGGCUGUCGUCAGUUCGUGUCGUGAGAUGUUGGGUUAAGUCCCGCAACGAACGCAACCCCUAUCGUUAGUUACCAGCGGGUUAUGCCGGGGACUCUAACGAGACUGCCUGCGCAAGCAGUGAGGAAGGUGGGGACGACGUCAAGUCAUCAUGGCCCUUACGCCUAGGGCUGCACACGUGCUACAAUGGAUCGGACAAUGGGCAGCCACUUCGCGAGAAGGAGCUAAUCCUAAAACCGGUUCUUAGUUCGGAUCGGAGUCUGCAACUCGACUCCGUGAAGCC
rnacentral:rRNA from 1 species